rnacentral:rRNA from 1 species
CUACACCGCCCGUCCACACCACUGGAGGUGGGGUUCGUACCACGAAGACAGGUUGCCUAACCGCAAGGAGGGCGCCUACCACGGUGAGCUUCAUGACUGGGGUG